AUUGAACGCUGGCGGCAGGCCUAACACAUGCAAGUCGAGAGGGGUUUUCGGACCUAGCGGCGGACGGGUGAGUAAUGCGUAGGAAGCUACCCGAUAGAGGGGGAUACCAGUUGGAAACGACUGUUAAUACCGCAUAAUGUCUACGGACCAAAGUGUGGGACCUUCGGGCCACAUGCUAUCGGAUGCGCCUACGUGGGAUUAGCUAGUUGGUGGGGGAAUGGCUCACCAAGGCGACGAUCCAUAGCUGGUUUGAGAGGAUGAUCAGCCACACUGGAACUGAGACACGUUCCAGACUCCUACGGGAGGCAGCAGUGGGGAAUAUUGGACAAUGGGCGAAAGCCUGAUCCAGCCAUGCCGCGUGUGUGAAGAAGGCCUUCGGGUUGUAAAGCACUUUCAGUAGGGAGGAAGGGUGUUGUGUUAAUAGCACAGCAUUUUGACGUUACCUACAGAAGAAGCACCGGCUAACUCUGUGCCAGCAGCCGCCGUAAUAC
rnacentral:rRNA from 1 species